GGCCGGUUGGCGAAAUGGUAUCGCGUCAGAUUUCGGCUACACUGAAAUCGUGAAUAAUAUUCACUCUCUGAAGAUUGUGGGUUCGAAUCCCAUAUCGGUCG